AAAUGAAUAAGCAUUUCUAAGUCACUUUUUAGUUCAUUUUUUUGUAUGUAUACAUAUGUAUAUAACAUACAAAGCCAGAUGUAAAGAAGUUCCUUGCUUGUCUUGCUGACAUCAGCUUUCUUAUGCAACUGUGAUGAAGAGGCAAUCCCAUGGUGAAAGUGCACACAGCUCAUUCCUGCAAGACUUUGCACUGUUCACAGCUCCUCCUGAACCCUGCACCCUAAGAUCCAAGCAGAAAAUAAUGAGCAAAAUAUUAGCAAAAUCCGUGGGUCUAGACAUAUCUUAAUUACCAGUUUGGACUCCAUUCUGACUGAAGAGAUGAAGUGAACAUUGGCUUUAAGUUUUCAAGUACACCCAGCUAAGCUACGCCUUCCAAACAUCAUACAUAAGGCAGGGAGUAUCCUGUUCAGUGUCAGAACAGAUGGCAGAAAGCUUGGAGGAAUUACUGCUUUGCAGGCAGGACAAAAGAACGAGAGCCCAAAUGCAGCCAGCCAGCUGAGAGCACACUGCUGCUCCUGCAAAGCUCUUCAAGGAGAAAUGCUGACACAGCCAUUUCCGGCACUAUUUGCUGCUGCAAGGAAUACUUAAGACCUGCAGAAGACCUGCUUUCAUGGAAACGUUGUCUACUAAGCAGUAGCAGACUGCUUCAUCUUAGACUUGAUCAUCACAGAGCGAAGAGGAAAACCUACAGCACUGAGAAGUUUAAGGUCAUUACCUCUUGUCCCGUGACUACACUCCCUGAUAAAGAGUCCUUCAGCUUCCUCAGCCUUUUUUGAGCAGUAUAGAACAUGGGCAACCAGAGGCUGUCUCAUAUUCGGGACCACCAGGUAUGAUGACCACACUGAUGGGAUAUUUCUGGGGCAAAGACAACCUACCCAACUGGAAGCACAUGUAUAUCGAGAGUGGCUGCUCUUGUCAAAAACUACAGUGGACUGAUUUCACCUUCCAGUGGUGGAUGGAGCAUCUCAAACCUUAGACAGAAUCCCAUCCCCUCAUCCUCCCUGCACAAAACCCCAUCUCCCCAUGGGAAGCAUGCAGGACAGAUUUCUGCUCUUUGCUGAUGUCUUUGUCCGGGCAGCUCCUCAUAGCAGCCUGCAGCUUCCUCAUGGCAGCCUAUAAGCGAUAGCCUGAGCCCUUUCAUUUCUUGUUAGCAAGCCAUAUUAAUCCCUAAAACAACUCCCCUCCACUUGCUCACCUUGAACUACAAGAACUCAUUUCUCGUUCAUCCACACAGCAUCAUAAACAGAGCCGCAGUGGCAUGAGGGGACAGCAGCAUGGGGGAAAAUGGCUCUCUUUAAUGAGAUGCAUCCCUGUCUUGCCACCCCUCCAUGUGCCCCACUGCCUCCCUCACCCUCUGCUAGGUCUGGAUCAGAAGCAGAGCACGUCUCCCCAUUCCUUUCCAAGAGACGGACCCCUGCAGAGGCGAGGAGAUUAACACCGCUGGGCUGUGCCAAACGGCAGGCUGAUUCCUCAAUGUGGGUCAUGUCCCAUGGGACCGGAGCCAAAAGCAAACCAGUCUGUCAUUGCAGAGUAUUUAUAGGAGGGCUGAACCUAGCCCGCAGCCCCUGCACGGCUUCCCCACCCUUCUCAUCCGCUUGCUGAAUGCUUAAAUUUGAAACAGUUGUUGCAUGUUGUUUUAUGGCUGCUGGGGUAUGGCUGGCUGUCUCCCUUAUCGGUGUAAAACGGGGAGCUGUCAAGUGGGAGGGAACGCAUGAGUGGUUUGGUUGAAGUUUUUCAUUUCUUCUGUGCUUCUGAUUCCCCCCAAGCUGGCUUGGUUUGCAAGUGGAGACACCAGGAAUGGGUUGUAGUGGGAUGCUCUCGGCGUUGAUCCAGGGAGGACUUUCUGGUCCGAUGAGCCUGGACAUUGAAGUCCUCUGACAGAGAGCCAGAGAUACUUCAGGAGAAGAGAGGGCUUAUCUGGAGAAGAGGAGGCUCAGGGGAGACCUUUUAUCUCUCUACACUACAGCUACCUGAAAGAAGGUUGUGGUGAGAACAUGUCUUGAAGACAGAAACAGGGGUUAGAAGAGCAGAUUUUACUCCUGUGAUUAAGAUUUGCACCAUUUGACUUUGGGUUGUAAAGAAAAAGAAGAAAAAAUAAAACAAGGGAAAAAAAAAAGAGUAAUGCUUUACUAAUUAAGGCACAAUUGAAAGUGAUUGGUGUGCACUGGCAAGCUGCUCCUCUCAGAAAGAGCUGGACUGACAUCUCUACAAUCACUCAGUGAGUAAGCACUGCGAAAACACUGUUUGGCCUGGAAGGAGCUAAUAAGUGCAUAGAUAAAAUCUUAUUUUGAAAGCAACAACAAAGGGCAUGUGAUUUAUAUCUUAGUUGGUGACUUCAUAUGUUUUGCAGAGUUUCUCCAAAAUAUAUCGGAAUUCAUAAUUCAUUUUUAUAACGCCUUACAUUAAAAUAAUAAAUGUCAGGAAGUUUUUCAAGAGACUGAAAAUUCUGUAAGCAGUGCUGAGUGAUCAAAGGAGGAUUUUGACAGGGAGAGACUCCCGUUGACUUGGGGCUUUGGAUCAGACCUGACGCUGGCAACAAAAUGGACAACAGUUAAUAAAAGUGUGCCUGUUAGAACUUGGAUAAGUUAGAGCAGCUAAUUGCAGCAUCUCAACACAAGUUGGGGGAAGAUGCAUGCUGGCUGGAUCCUCACCGCUGCACGUGAUGGGAUGCUGUUGCUCGUCUACAUGGCAACAACCACGGAUGAGCCAAGACAAAGGAAGUGAUAGAGGAGGUGGAGGAGAGAGCAGGGAUUAGAGAGCUGGAGGAAAAACAACUUUCAGGGGGAGAAACCAUUCCAAAACCUACAUUUAUGCAAGGAAAAGGACUGCUGAGUUAAAAGUAGUAUAUCAUUUCUGGACUUUUUCAUUUCCUACAUGUUGGAGGAGUUAUCUCUGUGUGUUUCCAUUCUUUUUCUUAAUGGAGGCAUAUAUGACGUGUUUCUCACUCAUUGUAGUAUUUCAUGUUUUCAUGAGUGUUAACAAAAGCAUGGGACAAAGCCAAAGAGGUAACUACCCACCAUACCCUAGUGCAGCUGUUUCACGUUUAUAAAACUCAUGUAUCACCAUGCAGAAUUGGUCAGUGUUUUGCCUGUCUGUACCUGCAGGGAUGUAUUUUGCUGCAAAAUGCCAUUCAGGUUUGUGGACCACAAAAUGGAGAUGGAGAUCCCACAACUUCAGUUGUAGAGCAACCAGAACUCAUUCUCUCCUCACACAUCUAGAGCUCCACUCCCAGCCAUCCUAGUGGCCUUGCUGGGCUUUUUUCUAACCAUGCUGGUGGCCUUGCUGGGUGUUUUCCUAGCUCCUGGUACUAGGGAGCUCAAGUCCAGUGCCCAGAUGUGAUCUCAGGGUCUGAGUAGAGGGGAAGAAUUAUAUCCCCUAGCUUGCUAGCUGCCCCUUUGCACAUUCACCUCUGGAUGUGAUCAUCCUGUGCUGCAAGUGUGGAGACAUAGUAGUGAGGACCUCAUAGUCUACCAAGAUGCCCCUGGUCUAUCCAGAUGGUCCCAGCUUGUGCUGCCACAUGGGUUAUUCCUCCUCAUAUACUGAACUCUACAUUUCUCUGCGGUGAACUUCUUGAGAUUCCUGCUAAUCCUUCUCUCCACCUCAUUUCUUCGAAUAGCAUUGCUCCUCUGCACUGCAUCAAUCACUCCUUGUUUGUGUGUCCUCUGCAGACUUGCUGAGAGGGCAGCCUGUUCACUGCCUAAGGGCUGCUUGAGCUGCCAGGUAGCUCCACAAUGACAUCCUUUGGAAAUGUGCACCACCUCCGACUUGAUCAGCUGGGCUGUACAACCUUAAUGGUAUAGAAGAUUCCAUGCAGUUUCAAGUCGUCAUCCAACUUUUAGAUGCAAGAUCUAAAGGCCCAUGUGGUACUUUAAUAUCUUGAUGAUUUACAGCUGGGAUUGAGACUUUGUCCAAACUUUCACUCCAUUUGUAUAAACCUUUCAUGCUGAUUGAGAACUCUGCAAAUGAAGUCUCUGACUUUUAUUUACACUUUAUGAAAAUUGAGUUGUUCUCAAGUGACCCUACAUCUCACCUCAGAGUGGUGAAAAUUCACAGCCACGGAGCGUGGAUUCAUGCAGACUGAGGGCUCAGUUUGUAGAUCUGAAUCUACAGAUAUUCAAAGAGAUUUUUCCCAGGGGAAAACAGUCAAAUGUGGAUGAUAAAAGUGAGUGAGUAAUGUACUGAGAGCAUAUCUUCUUACUGCAUUUGCUCGGAGUGUCUGUUUAUGAUGAAUGUAAAGCAGACCCAACAGCAGAGUUCAGUUAGGGGUGUGCGUUUAUGUGCUGGGAUUUUAUGUCUAACAUGGCCUGUUAGGCUUUUUGAAAAGGAAAAACAUAAAACCUUGCCUGUUUUCUUAAAAAAAUGCAUUACUGUACUGCUCUUCGUGUUUUAAAGUAGUGAUAAAAAAAAAAGAAAGAAAGAAAGAAAGAAGUUGUUUAUAUUAUUUGUAUUACCUUAAGCCCCAGGAAGAACAGACACAACUCCAUUUGCAAGCAAAUAUAGCUUGUGUUGGAUUGAAUAGCCCAAGAAGGUGUCAUUAUUCGUUUCUCAGAAUGCAUCAGCUUAAUGUCUUGCUGAGGUUCACAUACAAACCCUACAGCAAAGCUGGACCUGCGAGCAGAACAGCUCCUGCCAAGAAAACAAAGACCGUAUCAGCUGGAUGGUAGGUGCCUGUGAUGUGUGAGGGAUAAGCAGAGAGCUGUGGAAAGAUUUCUGAGAAGGAACCACAUCAGUGUGCUGGGCCAGCGCUCCCUUGGUGCCUGAAACCUCCAGCUGCUGAUGUUCUGGAGUGAGAAAAUGGGCAGAGAGAUUAUUUUUGAAUUUUUGAGGGCUGGCUUUGCAUCUUGGCCCAUCUUUUUCUGGAAACGGUUAGUAGUUGUAACUGACUCCCAGAUGUGUGGCUAAAAUAAUUUGCUUUUAUUAAUAUUCAGAUAUGAGAAUCCAGAAAUAAAGUGGGGAA
ensembl:lncRNA